GGCUGGUUGGCUCAGCUGGUCAGAGUGAGGUGAUGAUAAUUCCGAGGUCAUGGGUUCAAUCCCCAUACUGGCCA
rnacentral:tRNA from 1 species